GGGACGCAGGGGAGACCUGGAGGGACCCCAGGGAAACCUGUAGGGACCCCGGGGAGACCUGUAGGGACCCCGGGGAGACAUGUAGGGACGCUGGGGAAACCUGGAGGGACGCCGGGAAAAUCUGGAGGGACGCCGGGGAGACCUGGAGGGACGCCGGGAAAACCUGUAGGGACGCUGGGGAGAUCAAGGUCAGAAGAUGGUGAUGGUGAGCUUGCUUCUACUCUUCCCAUGAUGGCCAGUCAUCCUUAGACAGAAGCCGAAAACUUUUCAGAAGCUCCACAAACAGCUGUAGUACACAUGAUCCCUUCAACAGAAAAUUAUGCACUACCGUCUUCCACUGGAGAUGUAGGACAUCCCAAAGACCAGGUGUGUGAGGGAAAGCCAGAGCCCAGACUGCUGUACUGGGUUAUUUCUGUUUUGAACAGAAAUGGCCACAGAAAAAAAUGAGGAGCUGGAGUGUGGCAAGACGGCCAGGUGAGACGGCUGCAGCUGGACGGGCAGAUGGACCAGGUGGGCUACAGACGUCGGUUGUAGGAGGACGGAGGUGGACUGGAGGUUUGGAGAUGGAGGACUGGCCCAAACUGGCCCAAAAGGAGUACUGCUGAUCUGGACGCCGCAGAGGAGCUGGAGCCCAGCUGGAAGAGCGGGAAUUGCGGGAUCGCAGCUGGAGGUCUGUUGGGAACCGGAGGAUCGGUCGGCCUGGGAGCAGCAGAGGACUACAUCCCUUUCCCCUCCCUUGUUGUUGGGCCAGCUAAGACUCUCUCUCAGAUUUAAUCUGGAGAUGGAGGACUGGCCCCAAGGAGUGCUGCUGAUCUGGCGGCCAACUGUAGGAGUGGGGACUGCUAGGUCGCCGCUGGAGGUUCGCUGGGAACCGGAGGAUCGGUCGGACCUCUACUGGAAACAGUAGAGGACCGCGCCCCCUUUUCCCCGUUUUGGGCCAGUUAAGAAUCUCUCACAAACUUGUGUAUUGAUUUCUUGUCAGGAACUGUCUAUGCCUCCUUUUUUUAACCAGCUGUUUUUGUAAAUAAAUUAUUGAAUCUUGAUUGAGACUCUGUGUACAAUCCUUGCAGACUACUAUUUUCUUUAUUGAGACUAAAACCUCUCGACCAUCACAGGAGGCUCAACUUGCAGAGUUAAAGGGACUCUGAAGGGAUACCAGGGGA